rnacentral:rRNA from 1 species
GAUGAACGCUGGCGGCGUGCCUAAUACAUGCAAGUCGAGCGAACGGACGAGAAGCUUGCUUCUCUGAUGUUAGCGGCGGACGGGUGAGUAACACGUGGAUAACCUACCUAUAAGACUGGGAUAACUUCGGGAAACCGGAGCUAAUACCGGAUAAUAUUUUGAGCCGCAUGGUUCAAAAGUGAAAGACGGUCUUGCUGUCACUUAUAGAUGGAUCCGCGCUGCAUUAGCUAGUUGGUAAGGUAACGGCUUACCAAGGCAACGAUGCAUAGCCGACCUGAGAGGGUGAUCGGCCACACUGGAACUGAGACACGGUCCAGACUCCUACGGGAGGCAGCAGUAGGGAAUCUUCCGCAAUGGGCGAAAGCCUGACGGAGCAACGCCGCGUGAGUGAUGAAGGUCUUCGGAUCGUAAAACUCUGUUAUUAGGGAAGAACGUAUGUGUAAGUAACUGUGCACAUCUUGACGGUACCUAAUCAGAAAGCCACGGCUAACUACGUG